rnacentral:lncRNA from 1 species
UAAGGACACGAAAAAAACGGUUCACUGCUUUUAUUAGCACUGCGUGUGCGCGAGGGCCUGUGUGCUGGCGCCUGUGUAUCAUCAGCAGGCACUUUAUCACUCCUUUAAGAUCCCAAUGAUAGCCUUCCUGCUUCUAGUUUACAGGUAGAACAGAGUAUCAGCUCUCCAUCUAUUCUUCUAUAUGUGUACAUAGAUAGGGACCUAUACAUAUCUAUAUGUAUAUGAAGUAAUUAGUAGUCACAUUUUUUUGGUGGGGGUUAUUUUCGAGACAGAGUUUCUCUGUGUAGUCCUGGCUGUCCUAGAACUCACUCUGUAGACCAGACUGGCCUCAAACUCACAGAGAUCUGCCUGCCUCGGCUUCCUGAGUGCUGGCACCAAAGGUGUGCACCACCAACGCCCGGCUAGUAGUCACAUUUGUAAUGAACAUGUCUUUAUAAAGAUUGCUUCCAUCACCUGAAUGUGAACAGAUGGGAUGUGCCGUCCAUUUUUGUAUGGUUUGAGGGUUUUUUUCUUCAAAAGGUCAGAAGGUUAACCUUAAGUUUAAAAGCUAAUGUCCACAAGGAAGGAACUGUCACUUAACUAACUGCUCUUGGUUACCCUAAAAGAAAAUAUCAUUUAACCAUGCUAAACUUAAGGACACGUUAUAAUUUAAACCUGUAAUUUUUGAGAGAGAUUCGGGGUGCCAUGGAAUCAGUUGCUGUGCUAUUUAAGUAUCCAGCUGCACAGACUGCACUAAAAACACCGGAGAAUCUUUAACAGCACAUAAGACACCACCAACCCUGUCUUUUAUUAUAACUCUGAAAGAAUAUAGUAUAGUAGUAAAUAGAUGUAAAAACACUUGACUAUGUAAAAAGAAAAGUUGUUUUGCCUGCAUACUUAGUAUAGGUUGCUGUAGAGUUCCUAUAACAAUGUCUACAAGUGUUUGAGCUAGCUGUACUUACUAUUAUCUUGUAUUUAAACAGAAUUGGCACAGACAUGGUGGGAAAUUGCCAGGAACCUCAGCUGCUCAUGAGGUUGAAGUGGGAGGAUCAUUAGUUCAAGGCCAAACUAGGGUACCUUGUGAUAACCUUUCAUAAAUAUAAGACAUUAAUAAAAUAAUUAUAG